rnacentral:rRNA from 1 species
CCAAUAGCGUAUAUUAAAGUUGUUGCAGUUAAAAAGCUCGUAGUUGAAUUUCGAGAUCGGCUUACUGGUCGUGCUUUUGUACGUACUGGUAUAAUCGGUUUCUCCUUUCUGACGAACUUUAAUGCCAUUAAUUUGGUGUUUUAGGGAAUCAGGACUGUUACUUUGAAAAAAUUAGAGUGUUUAAAGCAGGCUCACGCUUG